UUAAAGGGAACUCAGUCCAGACCAUGACAGCAAGUCCUAACCUAUUCAACCUUUCCCUGUAACUCAGGUCCUCAAAUUAGGCCACAUGCUUGCAAACUUUCUCUACACUCUUUCAGCCUUAAGGAGGGCUAUGGUCUGAUUCCAGGCCGAGGGGACUAAGCAGAAUAAUGGGCUGAAGAGUCUGCUUCACUGCUGCAGUGCUCUAAGACGUUUUGACUUUGAUUUUCUACAUAGCAUGAACUACCAGAGAGCAAGCCCUUCUUGGGGACAGAGAGGUCCCUCCCCCUAUUCCGGUGGAAUAGAGAGAUCCCUCCCCCAUCCGAGGGGUUAGAGAGGUCCCUCCAUCCCCAUUCUGGGGGACAGAGAGGUUCCCCACUAUGCAGGGGGGUGGUGGGCAGAGAGGUCCUUCCAACCCCUUUCUGGGCAACAGAGAAGUCCCUCCCCCCAUUCUGAGGGACAGGGAUGUCCCCCACUCCCCUUUCUGCUAAUAGCUUUGUGCAGCCAGUGAGAAGUACCAGAGGGUUUUUACUGUCCUCGAGGACAUACAGUACAUUAUUCAUACAGUCUACAUUAAUGCAAAAUGGAGAUUCCCCAUCUGCUGAUCACUGUACCGAACAUCCCAUCACAUCCACUAAUGGAGAUGUCAACGUGGUGUCACUCUCACUCUCAGAGCCCAACAUCAAGAGAAAAAUGUACGGCAGAAAACUGAGCUGCCCCUGUGUUUAGAUCUGGCCACAGUGUGUAUAGAACACAGGACAGGGUGAGGACAUCAAACCCUGAUAGAAGUUUAUACAUUUAUGAGAGACAGAGUGUGUGUGUGUGUGUGUGUGUAUGUGUGUGUGUCUCUCUCUCUCUCUCUCUCACUGUGUGUAUCUAUAUAUGUGUGUGUGUGUGUGUGUGUGUGUGUGUGUCUCUCUCUCUCUCUCUCACUGUGUGUAUCUAUAUAUGUGUGUGUGUGUGUUUGUCUCUCUCUCUCUCUCUCUCUCACUGUGUGUAUCUAUAUGUGUGUGAGUGAGUGUGUGUGGAUGCAUAGUUAUGGGUGUGCUGAGAGAGACAGUGUGCACCUGAGUAAAAUUUCCACCAGUCCACCCGCUCUCUCCACAAUUCUUUGUUCUUUCAUUUCCCCUUUUCUCAAUCCUUUCCCCCUUUCCACUCUUUUCUUAUUUAAUUUCUUCCCCUCCUCGUCUUCCCCCUUUAUUCCCCUCUCCCAGUGGUUCCCUUUCUCACUCUUUCCAUUGUCAGUCUCCAGCUGUUUCCUCCUCCUCUGCAUUUCCCUCUCCACCCCUUCCCCAUCCCCUCUUUCUACAUACCCUCCCUAUCCCCCUUUUUCUCUACCAUUUCCCCAUCCCUUCUUUCUACAUCUCCUCUCCAUCCCUUCCCCAUCCCCUCUUUCUACACCCCCUCCCCAUUCUCUCCUUUCUCUCUACCCCUUCCCAUCCCCUCUUUCUACAUCCCCUCCCCAUUCUCUCCUUUCUCUCUACCCCUUCCCAUCCCCUCUUUCUACAUUCCCUCCCCAUUUCCCCCUUUCUCUCCACCCCUUCCCCAUCCCCUCUUUCUACAUACCCUCCCCAUCUAUCCCCUCCCCAUUCUCUCCUUUCUCCCCAUCCCCUUUUUCUACAUCCCCUCCCCAUUCUCUCCUUUCUCCCCACCCCCUCUUUCUACAUACCCUGCCUAUCCCCCUUUUUCUCUACCCUUUCCCCAUCCCUUCUUUCUACAUCUCCUCUCCAUCCCUUCCCCAUCCCCUCUUUCUACAUCCCCUCCCCAUUCUCUCCUUUCUCCCCACCCCCUCUUUCUACAUACCCUGCCUAUCCCCCUUUUUCUCUACCCUUUCCCCAUCCCUUCUUUCUACAUCUCCUCUCCAUCCCUUCCCCAUCCCCUCUUUCUACAUCCCCUCCCCAUUCUCUCCUUUCUCUCUCCCCCUUCCCAUCCCCUCCCCAUUUCCCCCCUUUCUCUUCACCCCUUGCUGCAGGAUCUGUGACACAGUUUUAAAACAUAAAACAUAACAUUAUAGCAUAGUCCAGGCCCUUUGGCUCAUGAUGUUGUGCCAACCCAUUAACCUACUCUAACAUCAAUCUAACUCUUUCCUCCUAUAUAGCCUUCCAUUUUUCUUUAAUCUAUGUGUCUAUCUAAGAAUAUCUUAAAUAUCCCUAAUGUAUCAGCCUCUACCACUACUCCUGGCAAGGUGUUCUAUGCACCCACCAUCCUCUGCCUCUUCCCUACCCCUUAUACAUCCAUCCAAUCACCUUAAAAUUACACCUCUGGUAUUAUCUAUUGUUGUCCUUUUGAUCAUUUCUCACACUCUGAGGGAGCCAGAUUUUGAUCCUCUCUCUCACUUACUAUGAACUUUAAUUUUCUUUUGAUCAUUGUUCACCAUCAACCUCAAAGUUUCUGUCUGUCUCAGUCUGACUCUCUCUACCCACAUUCUGAAAGGAUUUGUGUUGAAUUCUCUCACUUCCCCCAUCCCAUCCUUCCCCUUUUAUCUCCCUUCCUCUUUCUUCUGUUCUCUCUCCACCCUUCUUCUUGUGCCCUCUCUCUCUCUCUAGCACACACAACCAGAAUACCACUGCCUUAAACUUGUGUGUUCUAGUUUUAGACUCCCCUAUCCAGAGAGAAAGACUGACUACGAAGGUCUUUCUAUCAACCCUCCUAAGCACCCUACCAUUUAGUCUUAGAAUCAGAAUUACUAUCACUAACAGAUGUCAUGAAAAGUGUUGCUUUAUGGCAGCAGUACAAUGCAAUGCAUUAAAAAUGUCUAUGCUUCAAUGAGAACUAUCUAAAAACAUAAAUAACACACAGAAAAUGCUGGUGGAACACAGCAGGCCAGGAAGCAUCUAUAAGGAGAAGCAGUGUCAACAUUUCGGGCCGAGACCCUUCAUCAGGACUAACUAAGUAGUGUAACAUGAGAGAAAAAUAGUGAAGUAGUUUUCAUGGGUUCAUUGUCCACUCAGAAUUCAGAUGAUGGAAUUGAAAAAGUUGUUCCUAAAAGGUGGCUCUUCAGGCUCCUGUGCCUACUGCAGCAUUGAGAAGAGGGCAUGUCCUGAAUGGUGGGGGUCCUUAAUGAUAGAUGCUGCCUUCUUGAGGCAUGGUGUGCCUAUGGUGGAGCUGGCAGGUGUACAACCCUCUGCAGCUUUUUCCAAUCCUGUGCAUGGGCUGCCGUGCCAGACGGUGAUGCAACCAUUCAGAGUGUUCUCCACUGUACAUCUCUCGAACACCUUCUCCGAGAACUUGACUUCCUAAAGUGAACGUAGACAGUACAGCAGAGGAACAGGCCAUUUGGCCCAGAGUGUUGUGCUGAACCAGCUAUAAAGCAAAUCAAAAACAUCCAAACACUAAUCCCUCCUACCUAUAACAUGUCCAUAUUACCCCAUCUUUCUUACAUCCCAUCUAAAUGUCUCUCAAAAGCCUCUAAUGCAUUUGCCUCUAGCACCAUACCAGGCAGUGCAUUCCAGGCAUCCAUCAGUCUCUGAGUGAAAAACUAACUUCUCACAUCCCUCUUGAACCUACCCCCUCUCACCUUUAAUGUAUGCCUUCUGGUAUUAGACUCUGGAAAACAGAUACUUCCUGUCUAUUCUAUUUAUGCCUCUCAUAAUCAUAUAAACCUCGAUCAGAUUCCCCCUCAGCCUCAGCUGUUCCAGGAUGAGGGGAGAUCUGUGCAUCACUUCACACUUACUUGGUUGAAUUCUAUCUAUCAUCCUUAUUUUCCAGCUGAUCUGUACCCUGCUGUUUCUUUAGACAAAUUUCCUCACCAACAUGAGAGAUUCUACAGAUGCUGGAAACCCAGAGCAACACACAUGCACACACAAUGCUGGAGGAACCCAGCAGGUCAGGCAGCAUCUAUGUAAAUGAAUAAACAGUCAACAUUUUGGUCCAAGACACUUCAUCAGAACUGGAAAGGAAGGGUAAAGGUGGCAGAUUAUAAAGUUGUGGGGAGGGGAAAGAGGACAAGUUAGAAGGUGAUGGGUGAAGCCAGGUGAGUGGGGAAGGUAAAAGGCUAGAGAAGAACCAAUCUGAUAGCAGAGAAGCAUGGAACAUACAAGAAAGGGAGAAGGAAGUGCAUUGGGGUAGAUGAUGUUUGAGGAAAAGAGGUGAGAGGCUAGAGUGAGGUACAGAAGAAGAGAAGUGGAGGGGUAAAGAAAAAAAUGGAAAAGUAAAUUACUGGAAUGAGAAUUCAAUGUUCAUGCUGCCAAAAUGUUGGAGGGUACCUAGAACAUGUACUUUAGAAAUUACCUAAGAUUACCCAUAGUCCUUUAUUUUUCUAAGUUCGAUGUACCUAUCUAGGAGUCUCUUAAAACACCCUAUUGUAUCUGUCUCCACCACCACUGCCAGCAGCCUAUUCCAUGCACUCACUACUCUAUGUAUAAAAAACUUAACCCUGACAUUGUCUCUGUGAUGUGCAAAGUGCAAGUUCAAGGACAGCUUCUACCACACUGUGAUCAGGUUCUGGGAUAGACCUCUUGUACUAUAAGAAGGAUUCUUGGCCUCACAAUCAACCUCAAUACGACCUUUCACUUUAUCAUUUAUUUGCACUGCACCUUAUCUGUAAUUGUUACACUUUAUUCUGCAUUGCUAUUGUUGGUACCUUGUUCUACCUCAAUACACACUGUGAUCUGAUUGUGGAAUGAUAUACAAGACAAGCUUUCACCCUGGUAUCCAGUCACUGACUCCAGGACCAAUGUUACCUUUCUCUGAAGCUCACUGGUCUCUCCUUCCCGUCCCAUUCAGUUGGGUUGAGGCGGUUGGAGCCGGUGGGAGGUGACCGCAGUGGGUAAAUGAAAAGCUGGUGGGCGGUGUCAGUGGGUGAGUGGGAGAGCCGGUGGGAGGCAGGUGCCCACGGUGAGCGUUGAGAGGUGUCCACUUCGGUGGGCAAUGCCCGCCAGGGGUGGUGGGAGGUGCCUUCGGUGGGUUUGUGGGAGAGUCGGUGGAGCAUACGAUCCUCGGCGCCGCUCAGUCUCCUCGGUCCAAGCGCCCGAGUCCGAUUCUCCCGGGUGGUUUGCCGGCUGAUUUCCUGAAUUUUGUUCUGUCGCUUUGGAUUAUACAUCUCCCCAGGAACAGACGAGUUGCUUUCCGCUCAGGUGCUUCUAAUAGGAUUGUUUACGGGCUGACCCAUUGCUCAGAUCGUUCUCACCCUACCUCUCUUGUCUCUCUGCCUCCCCUCCCUUCUCCUCCUCUCCCCCGUGCCUCACCUCUCCUCCGCUCUCCCCCUACCAUAUAUCGCUCUCCGCUUGCCACACUUGAGACUGUCCUGCGCAAUCCUCGCUGAUCUGAUUUGACCCAACCGACGCAUUUCACUAACCUCUUUUACUCCCCGUUGCACCGCUCCUUCCCGCGAGGCUCUAACAUAUCCCCAGAGGCAAGACCCAAUCGGCGAGACCGAUUGUUGGUGGGGCCGGCGGCCUCUCGGCCCUUCAGCGCCGUACUAACGCUGGCGCCACCAGCCGGAGUCUGCAACGCGUCGGCGUGAAAUUCGGAUGAAGAACGCAACGGUCAGAGGCACCUGCCUCCUCCUCUCUCUCUCCGCCGCUUUCCCAGGACCCGAAAUGUUCAAUGAGUCAAACUAGGAAAGAAGGACCUUCGUUCUGCAGUCGUUCCAUAACUGUUCAAUACACGUUUGAUAUUCGUUUGAUCCUGAGGCGCCAGACGUCUGCACCAGUGUCCGUGGCCAGGAGAGGAUGC